rnacentral:rRNA from 1 species
GACGAACGCUGGCGGCGCGCUUAACACAUGCAAGUCGAACGGAAAGGCCUGCUUUCCCUUGUGGAUUGCGGGUACUCGAGUGGCGAACGGGUGAGUAACACGUGAGUGAUCUGCCCCCAACUUGGGUAUAAGCCUGGGAAACUGGGUCUAAUUCCCGAUAGGACUGCAAGGUGGUGCCUGUGGUGGAAAACGAUUUUCUAGUGGUUGGGGAUGAGCUCGCGGCCUAUCAGCUUGUUGGUGGGGUAAUGGCCUACCAAGGCGGCGACGGGUAGCCGGCCUGAGAGGGUGGACGGCCACAUUGGGACUGAGAUACGGCCCAGACUCCUACGGGAGGCAGCAGUGGGGAAUAUUACACAAUGGGCGGAAGCCUGAUGCAGCGACGCCGCGUGGGGGAUGACGGCCUUCGGGUUGUAAACUCCUUUCGACCGCGAGGAAGCCACCUGGUUGGAAGGGUGGUGACGGUAGUGGUAGAAGAAGCACCGGCUAACUACGUG